rnacentral:rRNA from 1 species
AUUGAACGCUGGCGGAAUGCUUUACACAUGCAAGUCGAACGGCAGCACGGACUUCGGUCUGGUGGCGAGUGGCGAACGGGUGAGUAAUGUAUCGGAACGUGCCCAGUCGUGGGGGAUAACGUAGUGAAAAUUACGCUAAUACCGCAUACGAUCUAUGGAUGAAAGCGGGGGAUCGCAAGACCUCGCGCGAUUGGAGCGGCCGAUAUCAGAUUAGGUAGUUGGUGGGGUAAAGGCCCACCAAGCCAACGAUCUGUAGCUGGGCUGACAGGACGACCAGCCAGACUGGAACUGAGACACGGUCCAGACUCCUACGGGAGGCAGCAGUGGGGAAUUUUGGACAAUGGGCGAAAGCCUGAUCCAGCCAUUCCGCGUGCAGGAUGAAGGCCCUCGGGUUGUAAACUGCUUUUGUACAGAACGAAAAGGUUUCUACUAAUACUAGGAGCUCAUGACGGUACUGUAAGAAUAAGCACCGGCUAACUACGUGCCAGCCGCCGCCGUAA